rnacentral:lncRNA from 1 species
ACGUAGGUGGUGGUCGGAGCCCUAGGCGCGCUGUCGGGGGGCGGAGCGCUGGCGGCGGCAGGGCUCCUGGCCGUGACCACGGCGGCCGCGCACAGGGCUGUCUCCGUGAUCGUCCUGUCGCCGCUGUACAAGCUGUCUCCCUUGCACGCGUGCGACCGCCAUUUCACCUCUCUCGCUCCCGCGCACAAGGCUUUGCCGUACAUGAGCUCGGAGAGCGCGGUGGCGAGCGUGGUGUGCCCGCAGUACGACCUGGUGCCGCCUGACCACAUCACCCUGUUCAUCACCAACCUCGGAGGCAGCUCCCCGUCCUACAUCUACCGCUUGCUGUCAGAACUGUACGACCCGAUAGACUAUCAACUGUAAUAUAUUUAUAAUAUAUAAUGAGAAUACUAUUAAA